GAGCAUGGAAGAAGGAGAUAUUCAUGGACAAUAUACAGAUUUACUGAGAUUAUUUGAAUAUGGAGGUUUCCCACCAGAAGCCAACUAUCUUUUCUUAGGAGAUUAUGUGGACAGAGGAAAGCAGUCUUUGGAAACCAUUUGUUUGCUAUUGGCUUAUAAAAUCAAAUAUCCAGAGAACUUCUUUCUCUUAAGAGGAAACCAUGAGUGUGCUAGCAUCAAUCGCAUUUAUGGAUUCUAUGAUGAAUGCAAACGAAGAUUUAAUAUUAAAUUGUGGAAGACCUUCACUGAUUGUUUUAACUGUCUGCCUAUAGCAGCCAUUGUGGAUGAGAAGAUCUUCUGUUGUCAUGGAGGUAGACUAGUAAAUUUGCCUUACAGAUUUUUUUUUUCUUCUAUUAUUCGGAAAAUACCUAUAAUAAUCAAGAGGCUGUGGGAAAACAAAGCAGUGCUUGUAUGAAAACUCAAGUGAUUAAAACUGUUUUAAACAUGGCUAAACCUCUUUUAAAAAUUAGAAAUUUAUUUAUAAAUGAAAACGUAAUGCUUCUUUAAAUACAGUUUCACAUAUAAGGAGUGUAACUAGAGUUGUUUGAGAAAGUCUCCUUUGCCUCAAGUUUUAACAGAAAGACACCCCUGCUAUUUAUUAGUAAAAAUGAGAGGAUAUCUUCCUGCCUAUAUUGAAAUCUUUCAUCAGAAUCCAAAUAAAAUUGAGUUUCAUAUUCACAUAUAUCAAGAAUUCUAGGCUUCAUAUAAUAUAUUUGCUUUAGUAUUAACAAUAAAAUAAUAAAAUAAUCUUUGGCAGAUUGGUAGGUUACUCUGUAUGGCUUAUGAAAUAAGCUUGAAGUUUUUUGAAAGUUUAUUUGAAAAAUUAAUGUAUAUGUCUAACACCUAGCUAGUAGAUAGUGUAUGAUCUGACCAUCUUGAAGAGUUAAAAACCUGUUGCUAAGAUACAUUUAUGAAACAGAUAAUUGAGUAAUAAAAGGUAUUUAAUAUGUCAGAACUUAUUAAGACACUAUGAGAAGUCAGGAGGAGGAAAGACUGGGUACAUGUGUGUAUGGAGGCAUGGGUUUUAGAGGAUAAAUAGGCUUUGGAGAAGUUAAAAGGACUUGAGACACUCUUUGUUGUCUAGUUUAGGGAAUGUGUAAGAACUGGCCUGACUAGAAGGUCAAGUACAUGCUGGGAAAUGAUGGAAUCAGAUUAUGGAGAUUUGACUAUUGAGCAACGGAGUUUGUUGAGUGAUUUAAUAACCGUAUUGGGUUUUUGUACAGGGAAGUAAUUUAAUGGAAAUAGUGUAAGAAAAUUAGUUUUUCAUCAAUAUACGGGAAGAAUUAAAGUGGAA
rnacentral:lncRNA from 1 species